rnacentral:rRNA from 1 species
UACGGAGGAUCCGAGCGUUAUCCGGAUUUAUUGGGUUUAAAGGGUGCGUAGGUGGAUUGAUAAGUCAGCGGUGAAAGUUUGCAGCUUAACUGUAAAAUUGCCGUUGAAACUGUCGGUCUUGAGUGCAAAUGAGGUAGGCGGAAUGUGUUGUGUAGCGGUGAAAUGCUUAGAUAUAACACAGAACUCCGAUUGCGAAGGCAGCUUACUGGGAUGCAACUGACACUGAUGCACGAAAGCGUGGGUAUCAAACAGGAUUAGAAACCCCAGUAGUCC